rnacentral:RNase_P_RNA from 1 species
GGUCGGCCGGACGGUCGCGUCGUGGCGGUGCCACGCCGAGGAACGUCCGGGCUCCACAGGGCAGGGCGGUGGGUAACACCCACCCGGAGCAAUCCGCGAGACAGUGCCACAGAAAGCAGACCGCCGGGCUCGUCCCGGUAAGGGUGAAAGGGUGGUGUAAGAGACCACCGGGGUCGUGGCGACACGACCCGCACGGUAAACCUCGUCCGGAGCAAGGCCAGACAGGGGAUGAUGACGCGGCUCGCCGAGUCCCCGGGUAGGCCGCUAGAGCGGCGCGGCAACGCGUCGCCGAGAGAGAUGACCGUCGACGGAGCAGCGCUCCCGAACAGAACCCGGCGUAUAGGCCGGCCCA